rnacentral:rRNA from 1 species
UACAGAGGUCUCAAGCGUUGUUCGGAUUCAUUGGGCGUAAAGGGUGCGUAGGUGGCGCUGUAAGUCAGGUGUGAAAUUUCGGAGCUUAACUCCGAAACUGCAUUUGAUACUGCGGUGCUUGAGGACUGGAGAGGAGAUUGGAAUUCACGGUGUAGCAGUGAAAUGCGUAGAUAUCGUGAGGAAGACCAGUGGCGAAGGCGGAUCUCUGGACAGUUCCUGACACUGAGGCACGAAGGCUAGGGGAGCAAACAGG